rnacentral:tRNA from 1 species
GGCGCUGUAGCUCAGUUGGUUAGAGCGCCUGCCUGUCACGCAGGAGGUCGUCGGUUCGAGCCCGAUCAGCGUCGCCA